UCCAGGCUCCACCACCCCCUCACAAGUCCCAAGGAAGCCAUGAGCUGCCACAUCACACCAGGAACGAAGCAGGCUACAUUGGAGGGACCCCCACCCUCGAGUGGAUGGAGGCAGAGGCCCUGAAAGAAGGAAGGACUCCUCGAGGCCCCUCGGCGGACAAGUCACAGAGCAAAGAUGCCCGCUCUGGGCUCCGGAUGUCCAGCAGCCGUCUGCAACUUUGAAGUGAUUGGAGUUCCUGUGGCUGCUGUGGGCAGACGGAGGGACUCCAGAAGCCCCGGCAGACUUGAUCAGUGCAGAGCCUGAGUCUCCUUGCAACCCCAACCCCCCUCCACCUUUGAAUGAGCUCUGAAGAAAAGUGAAAGGGAGUGGGGAGAAACCCAAGCCAUCACCCUGUCAGCAGGGGAGCAUGUGAUGCGUCCUGACUUGUGCUCACUGCUGAGGAAGACACUAGAAGGUGUCAUUCCUACCCUCCCAAAUAUUGCAAUCUAAUUGGGAGGGCAAGAUGAAUAGGCAGAGGACAACAAAAGAUAAGUGAAGAGGCCCAGUGUAGGACCAGGAGCACUGGAUAAGAGUUCUAUUCCAGUGCCUUGGGGUCUGAAGCAGGUCCCCACACCUAGAAAAGCCCAGCUACCUCAUCCAUAUAGAUUUCUUCUAGUUGUCUGGAUGAUGGAUGGCAGUAGCACUUCUGAUGGAUUGGUGCUGCCUGCCCGAAGCACUGUGUUGAAAAGGAUUCUGAGGCAGCAUUCAGGCUCAGCAAAAGGGCUCUGGUUAAUUAGUGGUCUUCUGAUGAAUGCUAAAGGAUGCUGCGGCACUAUCAUUGCUAUUAUUAACCAUUCCUGAUUAAGAGCAACUGCCUGGGGUCAUUUGUAAGGAUUCUCCCAGCUCUCAAAUCUAUGCUUCUGUGAUUUAAAUGUUAAAUUUCAAGGCACUGGUUGGAAGCUCAAUCAGAAGAGGAAGAGAUGUGUGUGGGUUCGGAUCAUCAGGGAAGACUUUGGGAAGGAGGCGGCACUUGAGCUGGGCCUCCAAGUGGGGGAGUGUGAGGAGCUGAACAGGAGGUGGGAGGACAUUUAUGUGCGUGACAGUGGGGCUGAGCAUGGGCUGUUCUUGGUACAGGAAGGAGGAGGCCAGCCUUGCUGGAAUGCACUGUCUUUGUUUGGGGCAGAUAAGAUUAGAUAUGUGAGGCAGGUCACGUAUAAAAACAAGAGUUAACGUUUACUGGGGCUUACUGUGGUAACCCAAGGGACAAAGAUGACUUUCCACGCAUUAUCUCAUUUGGUCCUCAGAACACACCCUCAAGCUAAGUCCCAUUACUAGCUUUCUUUUACAGGAAUGGAACCACAAUCAGAGACAGGAAGUGACUUGCUCAGGGUCAUACAGCUAGUCCGUAGUAGAGUUGAGUUUUCAGCCCAGGCAAUACGGUUCUGAUGCUUGCAGGUGUAAUGUCUCUGCUCUGUUGCCUCCUCUCUUAAAAACAUUGAGGGAGCCUGACAAUGCAGUUGAGACAUCAGGGCUGAUUCUCUGAGGUCCAGAAAGAGGGCAGGAACAGCUGCAUCCUGAGAAGGAAGAUCUGCCCUAGGAGAUCACCGAGCAAAUCCAAGCCAAACACAAGGCAGUGUAGACACAGAGCACAGUAAGCGCCAAAUGCCAUGGGUCAGGGCUCCUGGAGACCUUCCCCAGGCCCUAAAUAAUCUACUGCAUUAUGUCCUAAAACUUCAGAUAAGGCAGAAGCACGUGACAUUCCAGGGAGUCGGGGCUCAGCAUGUGAGGGUAGCAACAGAUCUUCCGCCGGUCAUACCUCAAGCUCAGGAACAGAAGAUGGCGGCCUGAAUGCAGACCUCUUUCAGAGACCUCAGCGUCACCCUGCCUCCACAGGGCUGCAGCCUGCCUGGCACCUGGGGGUGUGCUGGGGAACCUCUGUCCCUUCUUCUUUUCCUGGUGCUCUCUCAUUCGUUCCUUCCCUUGCAGGUUCAGGGCAGCCCCAGCUUCUCCCCAGCUUAGACAAUUAGUUCAAUGGGGACCCAGAAGGAAGGCCCUGGUGUGCAUCUCCCCACUGCAGGCCCCUGAGCAGAGGAGGGUGUCUCCUUCCUCCUCACCACCAGGACCACUCGUCCCCAUCCAGCUGACAGCACCGGCCUUGCAGGCAUGGCUCAGAGAUCUGGGAUCAAUGUGAAACCAGCCUGGGAACUCCUUCUCUGCCCCUGGGCCCAGCUGUUUUUCUCAAUUAGUCUCCCUCCAUCUUAGGACCUCCUUAAGGUCCUUCCUUCUGGCUUCUCCAUCUGGCUUCAGGGAGGCCUCUGGCCCCCACGGAACUUCCUAGCAUAGAGGAAGAGCCAGAGCUAUAACGAUGGGCUGGAGGCUCCUGGAAACCACAAGUUUCUUCUAUUCUACCACCCUCUCUGCUCAGCUCUAACUCUUGUCCAGGAUAUGCUCAUCGAAUAAGGCCUGAUUUUGUAAUUCUCUUUCCAGAAUUUUCCUCCUUCCCAGGCCACUGGGCCAGAGUGUCCAUCCUUGCUGACAGGAAAUUCAUCUUCAUUUUUCCAGCUUAAUUUCUCAAGCACAUACAUUCCUUCUCGUUCUGGGGAGUAGCAUGGCCUGACCCUGCAAUGGUGCUACGCCUUAGCACCCCGCCCCCAGGUGAAACAGUUCCUGACUUAGCUUUUCCAAAGCUUGCUGCCCAGCUCCUUGGACCCGAGGCACAAGAAAGAGCACUCUCCUGCCAGCAGGUAGCAAAGGAGGACAGACAUGGGCUUUGCCGGGAGUCUUCAGGUACCUUGAAGAAGCUCUAUGGAAGGCCCCGAAACUCUGCACAGACCCCUGAGUCCUGCUCUUUCUUCCCAGCGGCUCCAGCGGCCCGGUCCCCUCAGCCAAGCCAGUCACCAGCAUCCAAAGCGCUCCCCUCCCGCCUUUCCUUCUUUCUCUUUUUACGGAUCUCUCUCCAUCUACACAGGCGCAUAUGCACAAUCACUUCAGGCCUUAUCUGGAGCUGUCUCUGACAGAACUCUCCUUGUGAUUGGCAGGUUGGCUCCUGCGUCAGACAGGACACUCCGGGCUGCAUCCUCUGCCUGGAGAGUGAGGCCACAAGAGAGCAGAGACGGGGCUCUGCCUGCCCACAGCACUGGAGAGGACUCACCGCCAGCCGUGCCCUGGAGCUUCCCUGCUGCUCAGGCUCGCACAGAUGUGGGAGUCUAGGGUGCUGUGGGGCCCUGGCUUUGUCCACACCACCCCUAUCUGAUGUUGGACUAAGAGGAGAGAGUGGAACACCCCCAGAGGCACUGAGGCAUUCCCAUGGGGUUCAUAAAGAUAACCCAAACCUUUUUCCAGUGGGAAUAAAUGUCCGUGGCCUUUA